rnacentral:tRNA from 1 species
AUUACUUUGACAGAAUAGUGUAUUAAAUUUAGAAUUUAAAGAUAUAUAUGGUUAAGUAUAUAAGUAAUU